AACGAACGCUGGCGGCAGGCCUAACACAUGCAAGUCGAGCGCCCCGCAAGGGGAGCGGCGGACGGGUGAGUAACGCGUGGGAAUACGCCCUUUGCUACGGAAUAGUCUCGGGAAACUGGGGGUAAUACCGUAUACGCCCUUUGGGGGAAAGAUUUAUCGGCGAAGGAUUAGCCCGCGUUGGAUUAGGUAGUUGGUGGGGUAAUGGCCUACCAAGCCGACGAUCCAUAGCUGGUUUGAGAGGAUGAUCAGCCACACUGGGACUGAGACACGGCCCAGACUCCUACGGGAGGCAGCAGUGGGGAAUCUUAGACAAUGGGGGCAACCCUGAUCUAGCCAUGCCGCGUGAGUGAUGAAGGCCUUAGGGUUGUAAAGCUCUUUCAGCUGGGAAGAUAAUGACGGUACCAGCAGAAGAAGCCCCGGCUAACUCCGUG
rnacentral:rRNA from 1 species